UACGUAGGCAGCGAGCGUUGUUCGGAAUUACUGGGCGUAAAGAGUGUGUAGGCGGUGUUCCCAGUCUGUUGUGAAAUCUCCCGGCUUAACUGGGAGGGUGCAGCGGAAACUAGAAUGCUAGAGGGUGGGAGAGGUAAGCGGAAUUCCUGGUGUAGCGGUGAAAUGCGUAGAUAUCAGGAGGAACACCGGUGGCGAAGGCGGGUCUCUGGGCCGAUACUGACGCUGAGGAGCGAAAGCGUGGGGAGCGAACAGG
rnacentral:rRNA from 1 species